rnacentral:rRNA from 1 species
GACGUAGGAGGCGAGCGUUGUCCGGAUUCAUUGGGCGUAAAGAGCACGCAGGCGGUUUGGCAAGUCGGAUGUGAAAACCCGGAGCUCAACUCCGGACCUGCAUCCGAAACUGCCCGACUAGAGGUAGGUAGGGGAGAUCGGAAUUCCUGGUGUAGCGGUGAAAUGCGCAGAUAUCAGGAGGAACACCGGUGGCGAAGGCGGGUCUCUGGGCAGUAACUGACGCUGAGGAGCGAAAGCGUGGGGGAGCAAACAGG